GUGCCAGCCGCCGCGGUAAUACCGGCAGCCCGAGUGAUGGCCGAUCUUAUUGGGCCUAAAGCGUCCGUAGCUGGCCGCGCAAGUCCAUCGGGAAAUCCACCCGCCCAACGGGUGGGCGUCCGGUAGAAACUGGCCGGCUUGGAACCGGAAGGCUCAGAGAGUACGUCCGGGGUAGGAGUGAAAUCCCGUAAUCCUGGACGGACCGCCGAUGGCGAAAGCACGUCGGGAAGACGGAUCCGACGGUGAGGGACGAAAGCCAGGGUCUCCAACCGGAUUAGAUACCCUGGUAGUCC
rnacentral:rRNA from 1 species